AGAGCGGCACGCUCGCCCUGCCACCGCCAUGUGGGGCGUUCAGCGGGGCUCCCGGCUGCUGGCCACCGCGCUGCGGACCCCGCGGGUCCCCCGGGCGCAGAUCGCCUCCAAGCCACCCGAACAUCCACUCUCUGCUGCUGAGCAAGCCAUUGCGUUUUGCGUGAUGACCACGUGCUUCCUGGCCCCAGCGGCCUGGAUCCUGGCCCACGUGGAGCACUACAAGAGCAGGUCGGAUUAGGACGUGACAAGAACCACCUGCACCCUGCUGAGAGGAGGAGUACGCAGGAAGAUCAGGCCACAGAACAGAUCUUCACCAGGAAGGAGCCCUCUGAGUUUGUUCAUUAAAAUUCACAUUAGCAUUCAGCGUAA